rnacentral:hammerhead_ribozyme from 1 species
GCACUACUAACGAGUUCCAUAAUAGGACGAAACGGUCGUCCAGUAC